ACACAUGCAAGUCGAACGAGAAUCUGUGGAUCGAGGAUUCGUCCAAGUGAAGCAGAGGACAGUGGCGGACGGGUGAGUAACGCGUGAGGAACCUGCCUUUCAGAGGGGGACAACAGUUGGAAACGACUGCUAAUACCGCAUGAUACAUUUGGGUGGCAUCAUCUGAAUGUCAAAGAUUUAUCGCUGAAAGAUGGCCUCGCGUCUGAUUAGCUAGUUGGUGAGGUAACGGCCCACCAAGGCGACGAUCAGUAGCCGGACUGAGAGGUUGACCGGCCACAUUGGGACUGAGAUACGGCCCAGACUCCUACGGGAGGCAGCAGUGGGGAAUAUUGGGCAAUGGGCGCAAGCCUGACCCAGCAACGCCGCGUGAAGGAAGAAGGCUUUCGGGUUGUAAACUUCUUUUAAGAGGGAAGAGCAGAAGACUGUACCUCUAGAAUAAGCCACGGCUAACUACGUGCCAGCAGCCGCGGUAAUACGUAGGUGGCAAGCGUUGUCCGGAUUUACUGGGUGUAAAGGGCGUGCAGCCGGGAAUGCAAGUCAGAUGUGAAAUCCAUGGGCUUAACCCAUGAACUGCAUUUGAAACUGUAUUUCUUGAGUACUGGAGAGGCAAUCGGAAUUCCUAGUGUAGCGGUGAAAUGCGUAGAUAUUAGGAGGAACACCAGUGGCGAAGGCGGAUUGCUGGACAGCAACUGACGGUGAGGCGCGAAAGUGUGGGGAGCAAACAGGAUUAGAUACCCUGGUAGUCCACACUGUAAACGAUGAAUACUAGGUGUGCGGGGACUGACCCCCUGCGUGCCGCAGUUAA
rnacentral:rRNA from 1 species